rnacentral:rRNA from 1 species
CUGCUGCCUUCCGUAGGAGUCUGGUCCGUGUCUCAGUACCAGUGUGGGGGACCUUCCUCUCAGAACCCCUACGCAUCGUCGCCUCGGUGGCCGUUACCCCGCCGACUAGCUAAUGCGCCGCAUGCCCAUCCCCCGCCGGAAUCGCUUCCUUUGGCCGCAGACCCAUGCAGGUCCGCGGCGUUACGCGGUAUUAGUCGGGAUUUCUCCCGGUUAUCCCCCUGCGGGGGCAGGUCGCAUACGUGUUACUCACCCGUGCGCCGGUCGCCGGCACGG